rnacentral:tRNA from 1 species
CAUUAGAUGACUGAAAGUAAGUAUUGGUCUCUUAAACCAAUUUAUAGUAAAUUUACAUAUACUUCUAAUGA